AUAUUGCACUAUGGGGGAAACUCUGAUGCAGCGACGCCGCGAGAGUGAAGAAGGUCUUCGGAUCGUAAAACUCUGUCCUUGGCGAAGAUAAUGACGGUAGCCAAGGAGGAAGCCCCGGCCAACGACGUGCCAGCAGCCGCGGUAAUACGUAGGGGGCUAGCGUUGUCCGGAUUUACUGGGCGUAAAGGGUGAGUAGGCGGUUGCAUAAGUCAGAUGUAAAAGGCUAAGGCUUAACCAUAGUAUGCAUUUGAAACUGUGUGACUUGAGUACAGGAGAGGUAUGCGGAAUUCCUAGUGUAGCGGUGAAAUGCGUAGAUAUUAGGAGGAACACCAGUGGCGAAGGCGGCUUACUGGACUGUAACUGACGCUGAGUCACGAAAGCGUGGGUAGCAAACAG
rnacentral:rRNA from 1 species